rnacentral:ncRNA from 1 species
UAUUCGGGACGACCCGGAUAAACGCCAUCUCAUCGGGGACGUCCCCA